GGAUCAAAUUGUUGGUCGUGCUUCGGUACGCACUGGCAUUAUUGGUUCCUACCUUCUGAAGAACCGCGAUGUCAUUAAUUUGGUGUCGUGGGGAAUCAGGACUGUUACUUUGGAAAAAAAUUAGAGUGUUUAAAGCAGGCGUACGCUUGAAUACAUUAGCAUGGAAUAAUGAAAUAGGACGUUUGAUUCUAUUUUGUUGGUUUCUAGGAUCGACGUAAUGAU
rnacentral:rRNA from 1 species